GAGGAGCCCGCGCACGAUUAGCUAGUUGGUAGGGUAAUGGCCUACCAAGGCUUUGAUCGUUAGCUGGUCUGAGAGGAUGGCCAGCCACACUGGAACUGAGACACGGUCCAGACUCCUACGGGAGGCAGCAGUGGGGAAUCUUGCACAAUGGGCGAAAGCCUGAUGCAGCGACGCCGCGUGGGGGAUGAAGCAUUUCGGUGUGUAAACCCCUUUCGAUCCGGACGAAUACCUCGCAAGAGGGGUGACGGUACGGAUAUAAGAAGCCCCGGCUAACUACGUGCCAGCAGCCGCGGUAAGACGUAGGGGGCCAGCGUUGUUCGGAAUUACUGGGUGUAAAGGGUUCGUAGGCGGUGUGGCAAGUUGGGAGUGAAGUCUCUGGGCUCAACCCAGAGGCUGCUUCCAAAACUGCUGUGCUUGAGUGUGAGAGAGGCGCGUGGAAUUGCAGGUGUAGCGGUGAAAUGCGUAGAUAUCUGCAGG
rnacentral:rRNA from 1 species